ensembl:lncRNA
AUGCUGAACGGAGGGAGGGAGGGCCUGUUUGAGCUGGGACAGCAGCUCCAGCAGCAGGGGGAGUACCAGGCCGCCCUCCACUGCUUCCUCAGCUGCCUGCUGGGACUGACUCAUGUGCAGAGCUUCACCUCUCUGCCCAACUGCUUACACCAGAUUGCAGAACUCUUCAUCACUGAAAAGAAUUAUGGGAAGGCCCUCCAGUUCAUACAGGCUGAAAAAAUGUUCUAUGAAGUGGCAUUGAUCGAGCUCACCGCUCUUCAGGGGAGCACAGGGCCUCAAGAGGAGGCUACGCUGGGCUCCGCGGGAUGGACAACCCCAGAGGAACUUUCAGAGCAGGCCUCCCAGGCACAGCACCUCGAACGGCUGGCUCAGCUCUGCAUCAUGAGCAAACAACCUCAUCUUGCCCUAGAAUACAGCGGUAAGGCUACAAAGAUUCACCAGAGGGCCUUUGGAAAUGACCAUCCAAUUACAGCUAGAAGCCUUGAGCUCAUGGCAACCGUAUAUGCUGAAAUUGGCAAGACUGAAUAUUCAGACUCUCUGGGUCAGUGUGUGUCUGCACUGUCCAAACGUUUCGCUGCUGCAGAGUCUCUCAGAGACUCGGUCAGCUGUCUUCCUCAUUCCCACCGGGAGAAACACUCAGAGGUACGCCACAGAAAGGACACUCACCACCAUCAGGAAGACACACUUAAACCUAAGUUAACCAACAGCAAAGUCCCCACUUCCAUCCUAAAGAAGCCAAGUUCCAACUACGGACUAGACACAGAACUCAACCACAAACGUAAAGGCGAGCGCAGAGUUCGAUUCAGGGAGCCUGAGACCACAGUGCACGCCUAUGAGACUACACCAUCCCGCCCCCACCUUGCCCUGUUCACCUGCCUCUUCCUGCUGAUGUCAUUCCUGGGCGUCGCCAUGUACUGCACAGACCGUCGACGCCCACAGAGAGUGUGCGAGGAGCUGGAGGCAACUUUGGCCGUCUACCUGCUGCACAUGAAACAGCUUCUGUGGGGCUGCUGGAUAUGGUUGACAAUGCAGUGA